rnacentral:rRNA from 1 species
CCUACGGGUGGCAGCAGGGGGGAAUAGUGGGCAAUGGAGGCAACUCGGACCCAGCAACGCCGCGUGAAGGAUGAAGGUCGUCGGAUGGUAAAGUUCUUUUCUAAGGGAAGAAGAAAGUGACGGUACCGUAGGAAUAAGCCUCGGCUAACUACGGGCCAGCAGCCGCGGUAAUACGUAGGAGGCAAGCGUUAUCCGGAAGGACUGGGCGUAAAGGGUGCGUAGGUGGUUUGGCAAGUUAGUGGUGAAAUGUCCGAGCUUAACUCGGGAACUGCCUCUAAUACUGUUGAUCUAGAGGGUAGAUGCGGUAGGCGGAAUGUGUGGUGUAGCGGUGAACUGCUUAGAGAUCAUGCAGAACACCGAUUGCGAAGGCAGCUUACCAAUCUAUAUCUGACGUUGAGGCACGAAAGCGUGGGGAGCAAACAGGAUUAGAUACCCUAGUAGUC